rnacentral:rRNA from 1 species
AAUAGACAUGCAAGUCGAGCGAACAGAAGGGAGCUUGCUCCCGGAUGUUAGCGGCGGACGGGUGAGUAACACGUGGGUAACCUGCCUGUAAGACUGGGAUAACUCCGGGAAACCGGAGCUAAUACCGGAUAGUUCCUUGAACCGCAUGGUUCAAGGAUGAAAGACGGUUUCGGCUGUCACUUACAGAUGGACCCGCGGCGCAUUAGCUAGUUGGUGGGGUAAUGGCUCACCAAGGCGACGAUGCGUAGCCGACCUGAGAGGGUGAUCGGCCACACUGGGACUGAGACACGGCCCAGACUCCUACGGGAGGCAGCAGUAGGGAAUCUUCCGCAAUGGACGAAAGUCUGACGGAGCAACGCCGCGUGAGUGAUGAAGGUUUUCGGAUCGUAAAGCUCUGUUGUUAGGGAAGAACAAGUGCGAGAGUAACUGCUCGCACCUUGACGGUACCUAACCAGAAAGCCACGGCUAACUACGUGCCAGCAGCCGCGGUAAUACGUAGGUGGCAAGCGUUGUCCGGAAUUAUUGGGCGUAAAGGGCUCGCAGGCGGUUUCUUAAGUCUGAUGUGAAAGCCCCCGGCUCAACCGGGGAGGGUCAUUGGAAACUGGGAAACUUGAGUGCAGAAGAGGAGAGUGGAAUUCCACGUGUAGCGGUGAAAUGCGUAGAGAUGUGGAGGAACACCAGUGGCGAAGGCGACUCUCUGGUCUGUAACUGACGCUGAGGAGCGAAAGCGUGGGGAGCGAACAGGAUUAGAUACCCUGGUAGUCCACGCCGUAAACGAUGAGUGCUAAGUGGUUAGGGGGUUUCCGCCCCUUAGUGCUGCAGCUAACGCAUUAAGCACUCCGCCUGGGGAGUACGGUCGCAAGACUGAAACUCAAAGGAAUUGACGGGGGCCCGCACAAGCGGUGGAACAUGUGGUUUAAUUCGAAGCAACGCGAAGAACCUUACCAGGUCUUGACAUCCUCUGACACCCUAGAGAUAG